AUGGAAAAUGAGGUUGCCGGAGCCCGGAGAGAGGAGAGGUCGUCACGUCGAGCUCAUGGGGAUAGGGCAGCCACCACUGUCGCCUCCCACGACGACAGAGCAAAGCUUGAAGAUCAUGGCUAUUAUUGUGAAGUUCUCAAGGUGAUGAGCUUACUCGAGUGCUUUCCCCUGGAGACUUUGCAUUUCCAGGAGUACUUCAAUGCACUUCAUCCAAGGACGAUGCAAGCCAUUUACCAGAAAGCAGAAGCAGAUUUUGGUGAGGAAUACCUGCCUGGAGUGGUGUGUGUUGCGAUGAUCAGGCGGGGGCGCAGCGAUGAUCUGUCUGGGCAGCAGGGCGAGGACGCUAGGGUGGCGGCGACAAGACUAGGGCGGAGGAGGUUAGGCCUGCUGCUGGUGACGGGGAUGAGCAACUGGACAACAGGGAGGAGCCUGGUGGAGGGUCCUGCUGGUGGAGGGCAGAGGAGGGAGGGGCCUGCUGCUGGCGACGGGGAUGAGCAGCUAGACGACAGGAAGGAGCAUGGUGGAGGCUCCGGCUAG
rnacentral:rRNA from 1 species